rnacentral:rRNA from 1 species
UACGAAGGGUGCAAGCGUUACUCGGAAUUACUGGGCGUAAAGCGUGCGUAGGUGGUUCGUUAAGUCUGAUGUGAAAGCCCUGGGCUCAACCUGGGAAUGGCAAUGGAUACUGGACAGCUAGAGUGCGGUAGAGGGUAGUGGAAUUCCCGGUGUAGCAGUGAAAUGCGUAGAGAUCGGGAGGAACACCAGUGCGAAGGCGGCUACCUGGACCAGCACUGACACUGAAGCACGAAAGCGUGGGGAGCAAACAGG